rnacentral:rRNA from 1 species
UGGGGAAUAUUGGACAAUGGAGGCAACUCUGAUCCAGCAAUUCUGUGUGUGUGAAGAAGGUUUUAGGACUGUAAAACACUUUUAGUAGGGAAGAAAGAAAUGACGGUACCUACAGAAGAAGCGACGGCUAAAUACGUGCCAGCAGCCGCGGUAAUACGUAGGGGGCGAGCGUUAUCCGGAUUCAUUGGGCGUAAAGCGCGCGCAGGCGGUUGCUCAAGCGGAACCUCUAAUCUCGGGGCUUAACCUCGAGCCGGGUUCCGAACUGGACGACUCGAGUGCGGUAGAGGCAGAUGGAAUUCCCGGUGUAGCGGUGGAAUGCGCAGAUAUCGGGAAGAACACCAACGGCGAAGGCAGUCUGCUGGGCCGUCACUGACGCUGAGGCGCGAAAGCUGGGGGAGCGAACAGG